GAUUUCUUCAGUAGGGGCUUGAGCACUGCAAUCUCCUUCUAGGUUAGGACCUCGUCGCUUGGAAAGCGUACUGCCUCGCGGUUAGGACUCGUCAAGUAAAUCUCCAGGUAGAGGACGGGGCAAGGGCAAGGGCAAGCUGGCGAGCGACCCGAAGUGAGACCAUGGAGGGCCAUAGGGACUACCGCUUCCGCUUAUUCUUAUUUCAGAUUUUCGCAUUUGAAUUUGAGUACUUUUCAUCACCUACCAUCUUUUAUGUAGAUAGGGCCCGAGUAGGAUUUCAGAACGCUUUUACAUUUUUGCA